rnacentral:misc_RNA from 1 species
CAAAAUAUAACUGAUUAUUUGAUACGAGGAACCAAGGACCUGGACGUUGUCUCGAUUGUUGGAAUGGCUGGUUUAGGGAAAACAGCUCUGGCUAGAAAGGUAUACAAUAGUCGUUCUAUUAUUGAUCGUUUUGACGUUCGAGCUUGGUGUUCUGUUUCACAAACAUAUAAUAGGAGACAGUUGGUGCUUCAGAUUCUAACACAAAUUACAGGUGAUCAUCCUUCUAACUAUGUUAACUUGGAUGAUCCUGAAGACAUAUUGCAAAAGUGUCUAAACGGAAAAAGAUAUCUUGUCGUAUUAGACAACAUAUGGGAUGGUAAGGCAUGGGAUGAUUUUCAAUCAUGUUUCCCUAAUUUUGAUCAUCGAAGUAGAAUAAUGAUAACAACUAGAG